UUUACGACAAAAAAAAGUUAUCAACUUCCUAUGAAUUCCGUUUCCUAUGCACCUCGAUGAACAUUCACGUAGAACUCCUACAUUAUUAUUACAUAAUUCAUUCAAAUCUCAGUGUCAAUGACAUUGGCAAUACAGGUGCCAGCAUGCAUCUCGUAUUGUAUAUAUAUUAUGCUUUUGCAAAAGAUAAAUGAUAUACGGGUUUCGCAACCCAUGCACUCACGCGCGUAUAUAAGAACAAGUUUGUCGCUCUUCUAUGUACUUGAACUUGAAUUUUAUAACGUGCACCAUGGCCUUCGUAUUAGAAACUGUUCUACUGCUUUUAUUCCGAUUAGCUUACGCUCGAAACAUGCAGGACAUUGAAAUUGUUUUAUUACCAUUAUGGAAUGCGGAAGAUAGCGCAGAGGUAGUUAUCUAUUGCAACAUCUUUAUUUUUAUAUACGUAUAUAAUUUACAAAAUUUGCACGUUCACUGUAUGCGCAUUGGAUUAAAGUCAACACUUGCCUUUUUGUAAUUUGCAUGCGAUACGCAAAUUAAAAAACGCGACAUUUUCAAAAUAAGUUUUAUAGUAAAAUAAUUUUAUUAAUAUAGUUUAUUAGAUUAAUAAUAUUCCUUCUAUAAAGCUAACAUCAUUGUACGUUAUAAGUUACUUCAUCGGUAAAUUACAGAUGCCUCUAAGCUUCAAAGCGUUCGACCAAUCGGUUGAACUAAUGUUACACAGAAACGAUAAAAUCACAGCACCUCAAUUUAAAAUUUGGAAGCACAGCGAUACAGAUAUCAUGGAAGAGUUAGAGCUUAGUAAACCAAUCUCGUGUCAUUACCUUCAUCGAGAUGAUCUUAGUUCCGCUGCUGUGAGUCUUUGUGGAGAGCAUGGUGUGGUCAGUAUUGAAAUUCCGAAACAUUAGAAAGAAAGACAUUUCGUAAAACAAGCGCUUUUUUAUCACAGCAUGGUCUCAUUUUUCUAAAUAACACCACAUUAGAGAUUACACCGCUUCAGAGUCAGGAUAUCUCAUUUUUCCAUGAUCAUUACAUACGACGACGUUCAGAAAUGUUGGGAGAGCCUCAUAUCGUCAGAAGAACUUACAGUUCUUUCACGUUUUUCGAAGAUGAUUCAGAUUAUUCUACUCAACUUCAUAAUUAUUUAACAGAUGGAAAUGAGAUCAGAGAACCAUUUGAAAAUGUCAACAGAAAUAACAUAAACGAUGCUUUGACAUUAGAAUUGGCAUUGUUCUUUGACGAGACUGGCUACAAUAUCUUUUCACCAUUUUUUGAUAAGAACGACGAGAAGAUCAUCGACAUGCUAUUAGCUUACGUAAACGGUGUACAGGCAAUUUAUCAUCAUCCCAGUUUAGGAAUUGCAAUCGAUAUUUCCCUCGUUAGAUUGGAGAUUAUGCAAAAACAGCCACGUGUUCUACCGCAUCACGAUGGCGAACGAGGAAAAUUAUUGGAUUCUUUUUGCAAUUACGCGAUGAAGGAGAAUCCGGAGGAUGAAUUUCAUCCUGAUCAUUGGGACAUGGGUUUGUACGUUUCUGGUUUGGAUUUCUAUGUUGUGGAGGCUGGGCAAAAGAAUAGUGCCACUAUGGGUCUGGCAGUAGUAGGUGGAUUGUGCAUCAAACAAUAUUCUUGCGUUAUUGCUGAGUUAGGCGUGACGAAUCAAUUUGGAAAACCAUUUCCAUCGGCAGGGUUCACGUCUGUUUAUAUAGCAGCUCACGAAAUCGGACAUAAUUUAGGGAUGCAUCACGAUUCGGUUGGAAACACGUGUCCAAGGGAUGGCUACAUAAUGUCUCCUAGUAGAGGUAUCAAUGGCGAGACCGCUUGGUCAGAAUGCAGUCGCGAUGUGGUUCAAAAUCUUCCAUAUACGAAACCCUGUCUGAAAGACAGGCCAACUUCGCCUAUAAGCAGUCGAUUGGAUCACAGCAAGUUUUUCAAUCUACCAGGCAGAGAAUGGACCGCUAAAAGACAAUGUGAAGUGCUACUCCGCGAUAAAGACGCUACUGUAGCCACGUUGUAUAAAGUCUGCGAGUCGCUACAGUGUAAGACUCCGCAUAGAAACGGAUACUAUUUCGCUGGACCUGCUCUAGAUGGAACUUACUGUGCACCAGGCAAAGAGUGCCGCGGUGGUGAAUGUAAAAACGCCCUACAAAUGUACCCCGAUUUUAUUCAACAGGGAGGAUGGAGUGAAUGGAAAACAGGGUCCUGUAAAAGUGGAUGCUUGAUGAAAUCGACCGGCGCUCAAACUAGACGACGAUACUGCGACAGGCCAAUGCCAAAGAACACAGAAACCGGUUGCCAAGGAUUGCACUAUGACGUAGUUCUUUGCAAAGACGAUAAUCUAUGCAAGAAGAAGCGCAAGAGCAUGAGCGAGUUCGCGGCACUGAGGUGCGGAGAGUUCAGCGAAAGAUUGCCAGAAUUGGAUGCGAAGGGUGGCGGGCUACAAGCGCCGCACGAACGCGAAAGGCCAUGGAUGGCCUGCGCUAUAUUCUGUCGGCGAAAAGACAUAGCAUCUUAUUACACGCCGCGCGUGGAAUUAAACGACCUUGGCCUUGACCCAUACUUUCCAGAUGGGACAUGGUGUCAUGUCGAGGAGGGACAAAAUUAUUUUUGUCGCCAGCACCACUGUCUACCAGAGAGUAUUCGUUCCGAUAAAACGCUGCAAAAUGAUCGGCAGAGGAACGACGACAUUGAGUUCGGCCCUCAAAAUGCACACGCCGGAAGGCUUCGUCUUGACAAUCAGGUGAUUAAGUAUUUGAGCCUGGGCCCCGACGGGUUGCCCCUCUUGACUUCCUUGUCGUACGGUAUUGGGUUUCCGCCAGACGAGGAUGAGUGGAUCGAUAAAGAUUACGUAGAACUGAUGAAACCAACGGAAGAAACUUCCUUUGAGUCAUCGUAUCGGAUAAGAGAAUAAUUUUUUUUCAUUUUGUCUAACUCUUUUAUUUAUUUUUGUUAAGUAUUUUUUAUUGAUUUCAGUACCUUCAUCUAAUUUUGAUAAAUUAUAGUUAUUGAAGUAUUUCUUUAUCGUGUCAAUCUUUAACAUAGGUGAUUGAUAAGAUAACGAUAUCAAGUCUAAUUACUGAUUAAUGUAAAAAAGAUCGAUAAGAAAGAAAGAAAAAGAAAAGUUUCUAAGAGAAUUCGAAUUAUUAAUAUUAAAAGCGAAGUGUUCAAGUGUUCUCCUCAUUAUUAUUCAAUCGUAUUCCUUACUUUAUAUAAUGCAGUAUAAAUAUAAAUAUACCAAUAAAUUAUACACCAAUAUACAUAUAAAUUCUACUGUUUCACUACGCAAUUGUAUGUGAAAGUAUCUCAGGCCUCGGGAGAUAGGACGAUGACGUCAUCUACUUCGCUGUCUAUUUUAGGAGUGUCCCGAUGUUAUAUCCAGCGUAGGAGCGAUCAUGAGACAAAAGGAUUGAAUAAAAAUACAAAAUCGUGUCACUUAAUUGUAUCGAUAUUAUUUUAGCGUACAAAUAAUUAACCAACCAUUAAAAUUAAGAAAACGCGUUACAUAAGAAAACAAUCAGCUCGAUAUUACAAAUAGUUGUUUAUACAUACAUGUGCUUUCAUAUGACAAAAACCUCCAUCCAGUCACCGUGAAAUUGAAGGAAAUUAAUGAGCAAGGUACAAUUUGUUGUUUGAAUAUACAAAUUUAAUUUGUUCUACUAUAUACUUACGUAUCUAUGUACGUACUUGUAAUUCAUUGAAAAUGGGAAAGAACCAAAUUACAAUAUAUAUAUGAAUGAUGGAAUAAGAGAACAAAAGGCAAAAUAAGAUGAUUGGAACACAAUGAUGGUGGCAAUUUGUCAUACUUCCGCAGAUUUACCGUUCACACAAACCAGGCACGCUAGACGCAUUUACAUUAAAGAAUACUUACAGACCAUAUACGCAUACGCAAACGCAUUCAUUCACCAUAAUUGUAUACAUAAUACAUACUCUGAAUGUACAGAAUAAACAAAAUUAAGCAAGUCACAUUCAUACAGAGCUGCAUUCUAACGGACUCGCACUGUUAAAUCAUAUAACUUAACGUAAAUAUAUUCGGUCUUAUUCAAUAUUUUAGGAUCUUUCUUCCCGCAUGUAAAGGCAAAAUACGUUUCACUGCACUACGAAAGCAAUGGUCAUUUGUUUUACUCUUUCGAAUUAUAACAAACAUAAAUUUGCCUAAACCCAAAUCAAAAACCUGAUUUACAUUUGACUAAUCGAAAACCACAUUUUCCUAGCUAGAAGAUAAAAUUAUUAUUUGCAUCGUCUCAACAAAUAUUUGUUCACAGCUCUCUAACCACGCAUUUAUGUACUAGAACGUACACGAGUGUUUAUUCUCGUCAAUUGGGACGAUUAGAGGACUGUCGUUGUGAUGACAAUUAUCCAUGCUUUUUUUCGUUCUCAAUUCUGUGUUCAAUUCGGUAGAGUA